rnacentral:rRNA from 1 species
UGGGGGAUAUUGCACAAUGGGCGAAAGCCUGAUGCAGCGACGCCGCGUGGGGGAUGAAGGCUUUCGGGUUGUAAACCUCUUUCGCUAUCGAACAAGGCCCGCUUAGGGUGGGUUGAGGGUAGGUGGAGAAGAAGCGCCGGCUAACUACGUGCCAGCAGCCGCGGUAAUACGUAGGGCGCGAGCGUUGUCCGGAAUUAUUGGGCGUAAAGGGCUUGUAGGCGGCUUGUUGCGCCUGCUGUGAAAACGCGGGGCUUAACUUCGCGCGUGCAGUGGGUACGGGGAGGGUUGAGUGUGGUAGGGGUGACUGGAAUUCCAGGUGUAGCGGUGGAAUGCGCAGAUAUCUGGAGGAACACCGAUGGCGAAGGCAGGUCACUGGGCCAUUACUGACGCUGAGGAGCGAAAGCAUGGGUAGCGAACAGG